AACGAACGCUGGCGGCGUGCUUAACACAUGCAAGUCGAACGUGAAAGGCUUCGGCCGAGUAAAGUGGCGCACGGGUGAGUAACGCGUGGGUAAUCUGCCCUUGGGCGGGGGAUAACCUCUCGAAAGGGGGGCUAAUACCGCAUGAGACCACGGCUUUUCGGGGCUGUGGGAAAAGGUAGGGUCGCAAGGCCUGCCACCUGAGGAUGAGCCCGCGUACCAUUAGGUUGUUGGUGGGGUAAUGGCCUACCAAGCCGAAGAUGGUUAGCUGGUCUGAGAGGACGAUCAGCCACACUGGGACUGAGACACGGCCCAGACUCCUACGGGAGGCAGCAGUGGGGAAUAUUGCGCAAUGGGGGAAACCCGUGACGCAGCAACGCCGCGUGUGUGAAGAAGGCCUCGGUCGUAA
rnacentral:rRNA from 1 species